UCCGUGCCAGCAGCCGCGGUAAUACGGAGGGUGCGAGCGUUAAUCGGAAUUACUGGGCGUAAAGCGCAUGCAGGUGGUUUGUUAAGUCAGAUGUGAAAGCCCGGGGCUCAACCUCGGAACUGCAUUUGAAACUGGCAGACUAGAGUACUGUAGAGGGGGGUAGAAUUUCAGGUGUAGCGGUGAAAUGCGUAGAGAUCUGAAGGAAUACCGGUGGCGAAGGCGGCCCCCUGGACAGAUACUGACACUCAGAUGCGAAAGCGUGGGGAGCAAACAGGAUUAGAUACCCUGGUAGUCCACGCUGUAAACGAUGUCUACUUGGAGGUUGUGGCCUUGAGCCGUGGCUUUCGGAGCUAACGCGUUAAGUAGACCGCCUGGGGAGUACGGUCGCAAGAUUAAAACUCAAAUGAAUUGACGGGGGCCCGCACAAGCGGUGGAGCAUGUGGUUUAAUUCGAUGCAACGCGAAGAACCUUAC
rnacentral:rRNA from 1 species